rnacentral:rRNA from 1 species
CCCGAAAGGGUAGGGUGCCCGCAAGGGAGCGUGGAGACAGGUGGUGCAUGGCUGUCGUCAGCUCGUGUCGUGAGAUGUUGGGUUAAGUCCCGCAACGAGCGCAACCCUUAUCUUUAGUUGCUAAGCCGCAAGGCAGCACUCUAAAGAGACUGUCGGCCACAAGCCGGAGGAAGGUGGGGAUGACGUCAAGUCCUCAUGGCCUUUAUGUCCAGGGCUACACACGUGCUACAAUGGGCGGUACAAAGCGCUGCAAACCCGCGAGGGGAAGCCAAUCGCAAAAAACCGCUCUCAGUUCGGAUUGCAGUCUGCAACUCGGCUGCAUGAAGCUGGAAUCGCUAGUAAUCGCGGAUCAGCACGCCGCGGUGAAUACGUUCCCGGGCCUUGUACACACCGCCCGUCACACCACGAAAGUCGG